GGUAAUUUCAAAUUUGGAGUUUCAAGUGUGUCUGAGCUUCAGUGCAGCAACGUUUGAAUCAGUGCACUCAUUCCCACGGAAGAAGAGUUUACAACAGAUGAAGCAGAUGAAACUAGGAGCAAUGAAACCCAGAAUCCUCAUAAACCAUCACCUAGCAGGCUGUCAACAGGUGCAUCUGCUGAUGCUGUCUGGGAUAAUGGCAUUGAUGAUGCUUAUUUUUUAGAAGCUACUGAAGAUGCUGAAUUAGCUGAAGCUGCAGAGAACAGUCUUCUCAGUUAUAACAGUGAAGUGGAUGAAAUUCCUGAUGAACUAAUUAUAGAAGUAUUACAAGAGUAACUAAUUCACUAUGAACACUUUUGUCACCAGGCUAUAAUUUGCCUGAUGUCUGUGAGAUUUGAUAAAUAUAUCAUUCAACCUGUUUAUAUAAACUAAGUUUUAUUACUUUGCUUUCCAAUUUUUGUUUUUUACUUCUGUAAACCAAUUUCAUUAAAAAUUAGCUUUGGUGUAAA
rnacentral:lncRNA from 10 species